UACGGGGGGAGCAAGCGUUGUUCGGAUUUACUGGGCGUAAAGGGCGCGUAGGCGGCCACCGCAAGUCGACUGUGAAAUCUCCGGGCUUAACCCGGAAACUGCCAUUGAUACUAUAGGUCUUGAAUAUCCUGGAGGUGAGCGGAAUAUGUCAUGUAGCGGUGAAAUGCUUAGAUAUGACAUAGAACACCAAUUGCGAAGGCAGCUCACUACGGGAUUAUUGACACUGAGGCACGAAAGCGUGGGGGAUCAAACAGG
rnacentral:rRNA from 1 species